AGCGAACGUUAGCGGCGGGCUUAACACAUGCAAGUCGCACGAGAACGAGGGGGCAACUCCUCUAGUAAAGUGGCGCACGGGUGCGUAACACGUAGGUGAACUACCCUCCGAUGGGGGACGAACCGGCCGAAAGGCUGGCUAAUACCGCGUAAGUCAACGGGGCGAUUCGAGCCCUGUUGGGAAAGCGGCCCUCUUCACGAAAGGUCGCGUCGGAGGUUGUGCCUGCGGCCCAUCAGCUAGUU
rnacentral:rRNA from 1 species